rnacentral:tmRNA from 1 species
CCCCUUCAACUCGCCACAUUUCCUGCCUAUAUUCACCAGCGUCGGCUUGCCGACUAUGGCGAUAAACGCGCUCGUAAUAACCGGACCGGACCCGGGGGCAGUACCCGGCGGCUCCACCAUAUCCUUCCCCGCACCACCUUCAGCAAGUGGCCGGGCUGGCAUGGGGCCGAAACAGGAUCGACGGACGGGUAAAGGGGAUUGCUUUCGCCCGGGUGAGGCCCGUUACAGGCUCGCUUAUGAAAGUUGCCAACGACAACUUUGCUGAAGAGGUCGCUCUCGCUGCAUAGUCAGCGCGGGUAAUCUCGCCUUAAAGUCCUGGACCCUUUAGCCGGUCCAGGCGGGGCUCGGAGGCGCCUGGCAACAGAAGCCUCCACU